CAACUAAACUAAGUUUAACUUGGUUGAACGUCUGUUAACAUUGAGCACUUACAAUGUUCCCAGACUUGACAUAAAUGGAGCCACCUUCAUCCUCACACACUUAAAUACAAACUUUAAGUCUUGUUGGUUUCUUAAAUUGUAUCUUGUUUCUGUUUCCAGCAGAAAUCAUCACCUGAAGUCAGCGAGCAGACUGUGGAUGAGAGUGACAGACCUCAGCAGAAAUCAUCACCUGAAGUCAGCGAGCAGACUGUGGAUGAGAGUGACAGACCUCAGAAAAAGUUGACUGUUCACAAGAACCAGAUGUAUCAAGUGAUGAG